rnacentral:rRNA from 1 species
UACGUAGGGGGCAAGCGUUGUCCGGAUUCAUUGGGCGUAAAGAGCGUGUAGGCGGCCAGGUAGGUCGGUUGUGAAAACUGGAGGCUCAACCUUCAGACGUCGACCGAAACCAUCUGGCUAGAGUCCGGGAGAGGAGAGUGGAAUUCCUGGUGUAGCGGUGAAAUGCGCAGAUAUCAGGAAGAACACCGAUGGCGAAGGCAGUUCUCUGGGACGGUACUGACGCUGAGACGCGAAAGCGUGGGGAGCGAACAGG